AUACUUACCUGGCAGGGUGGAUACCGUCAUCACUAAGGUGGUUUUCCAAGGACAAGCCUUUGUCAUCGUAUUCUAGAUGUGCCCUUAUGAUUUCCCAAAGGUACCAAAUUUGGGGAACUGGCUGCAUAAUUCGUGUUAGUGACUAACUGAAUUCUCAUUUUCC